UUUAUGGAGAGUUUGAUCCUGGCUCAGAGUGAACGCUGGCGGAGUGCUUAAUACAUGCAAGUCGAGCGAGAAAGCUUCUUCGGAAGUGAGUAGAGCGGCGAACGGGUGAGUAACACGUAAAUAACCUGUCCUUAAGUUCGGGACAACCUUGCUAACGCGAGGCUAAUACCGGAUGUGAACAUAAUGCAGCAUUGUAUAAUGUUUAAAGGCUACCUCUUCAUGAAAGUGGUUGCUUAAGGGUGGAUUUGCGUACCAUUAGUUAGUUGGUGGGGUAACGGCCUACCAAGACGAUGAUGGUUAGCCGACCUGAGAGGGUGAUCGGCCACAUUGGGACUGAGACACGGCCCAGACUCCUACGGGAGGCAGCAGUAGGGAAUCUUGCGCAAUGGACGAAAGUCUGACGCAGCAACUCCGCGUGGAGGAAGACGGUCUUCGGAUUGUAAACUCCUUUGGUAUGGGAAGAAACCCUGUAUGUUAAUAGCAUACAGCUUGACGGUACCAUACUAAAAAGUCACGGCUAAAUACGUGCCAGCAGCCGCGGUAAUACGUAUGUGGCGAGCGUUACUCGGAAUCACUGGGCGUAAAGGGUACGUAGGCUGAUUUCUAAGUCAGUAGUGAAAUGUCGGGGCUUAACCCCGGAGUUGCUAUUGAAACUGGUAAUCUUGAAUAUGCGAGGGGAAGACGGAAUUUCUGGUGUAGCGGUGGAAUGCGUAGAUAUCAGAAAGAACACCGGCGGCGAAGGCGGUCUUCUGGCGCAAUAUUGACGCUGAGGUACGAAAGCGUGGGGAGCGAACAGGAUUAGAUACCCUGGUAGUCCACGCCGUAAACGAUGGACACUAGCUGGUGGAGAUUUCACUGGCGCAGUUAACGCAUUAAGUGUCCCGCCUGGGGAGUACGUCCGCAAGGAUGAAACCCAAAGGAAUUGACGGGGGCCCGCACAAGCGGUGGAGCAUGUGCUUUAAUUCGAUGCAACGCGAAGAACCUUACCUGGUCUUGACAUACCAGUGCUACGUUUAGAGAUAGACGGUUUUCUUCGGAAACACUGGAUACAGGUGCUGCAUGGUUGUCGUCAGCUCGUGUCGUGAGAUGUUGGGUUAAGUCCCGUAACGAGCGCAACCCUUGUCCUUAGUUGCCAUCAUUAAGUUGGGCACUCUAUGGAGACAGCCGUCGCAAGGCGGAGGAAGGUGAGGAUGACGUCAAAUCAUCAUGGCCCUUACGACCAGGGCUAGACACGUGCUACAAUGGCCAAUACAAAGGGUAGCUACAUAGCGAUAUGGUGCUAAUCUCAAAAAGUUGGUCACAGUUCGGAUCGGAGUCUGCAACUCGACUCCGUGAAGUUGGAAUCGCUAGUAAUCGUGGGUCAGCAUACCACGGUGAAUACGUUCCCGGGCCUUGUACACACCGCCCGUCAAGCCACGAAAGUUGGUGGUGCCCGACAUCGUAUCCUUAACCAUUGGAGGGGAGCGACUAAGGCGACACUGAUAAUUGGGGCUAAGUCGUAACAAGGUAGCUGUAUCGGAAGUUGCAGCUGGAACACCUCCUUU
rfam:Chitinivibrio alkaliphilus ACht1 contig00046, whole genome shotgun sequence.